rnacentral:rRNA from 1 species
AGAGUUUGAUCCUGGCUCAGGACGAACGCUGGCGGCGUGCCUAAUACAUGCAAGUAGAACGCACAGGAUGCACCGUAGUUUACUACACCGUAUCCUGUGAGUUGCGAACGGGUGAGUAACGCGUAGGUAACCUGCCUGGUAGCGGGGGAUAACUAUUGGAAACGAUAGCUAAUACCGCAUAAGAACAUUUACUGCAUGGUAGAUGUUUAAAAGGUGCAAGAGCAUCACUACCAGAUGGACCUGCGUUGUAUUAGCUAGUUGGUGAGGUAACGGCUCACCAAGGCAACGAUACAUAGCCGACCUGAGAGGGUGAUCGGCCACACUGGGACUGAGACACGGCCCAGACUCCUACGGGAGGCAGCAGUAGGGAAUCUUCGGCAAUGGGGGGAACCCUGACCGAGCAACGCCGCGUGAGUGAAGAAGGUUUUCGGAUCGUAAAGCUCUGUUGUUAAGGAAGAACGUGUGUGAGAGUGGAAAGUUCACACAGUGACGGUACUUAACCAGAAAGGGACGGCUAACUACGUGCCAGCAGCCGCGGUAAUACGUAGGUCCCGAGCGUUGUCCGGAUUUAUUGGGCGUAAAGCGAGCGCAGGCGGUUAGAUAAGUCUGAAGUGAAAGGCAGUGGCUCAACCAUUGUAGGCUUUGGAAACUGUUUAACUUGAGUGCAGAAGGGGAGAGUGGAAUUCCAUGUGUAGCGGUGAAAUGCGUAGAUAUAUGGAGGAACACCGGUGGCGAAAGCGGCUCUCUGGUCUGUAACUGACGCUGAGGCUCGAAAGCGUGGGGAGCGAACAGGAUUAGAUACCCUGGUAGUCCACGCCGUAAACGGUGGAUGCUGGAUGUGGGGACCAUUCCACGGUCUCCGUGUCGGAGCCAACGCGUUAAGCAUCCCGCCUGGGGAGUACGGCCGCAAGGCUAAAACUCAAAGAAAUUGACGGGGGCCCGCACAAGCGGCGGAGCAUGCGGAUUAAUUCGAUGCAACGCGAAGAACCUUACCUGGGCUUGACAUGUUCCCGACGACGCCAGAGAUGGCGCUUCCCUUCGGGGCGGGUUCACAGGUGGUGCAUGGUCGUCGUCAGCUCGUGUCGUGAGAUGUUGGGUUAAGUCCCGCAACGAGCGCAACCCUCGCCCUGUGUUGCCAGCACGUCGUGGUGGGAACUCACGGGGGACCGCCGGGGUCAACUCGGAGGAAGGUGGGGAUGACGUCAGAUCAUCAUGCCCCUUACGUCCAGGGCUUCACGCAUGCUACAAUGGCCGGUACAACGGGAUGCGACCUCGUGAGGGGGAGCGGAUCCCUUAAAACCGGUCUCAGUUCGGAUUGGAGUCUGCAACCCGACUCCAUGAAGGCGGAGUCGCUAGUAAUCGCGGAUCAGCAACGCCGCGGUGAAUGCGUUCCCGGGCCUUGUACACACCGCCCGUCAAGUCAUGAAAGUGGGUAGCACCCGAAGCCGGUGGCCCAACCUUUUUGGGGGGAGCCGUCUAAGGUGAGACUCGUGAUUGGGACUAAGUCGUAACAAGGUAGCCGUACCGGAAGGUGCGGCUG